GUUGCCACACCCCCAAACUCUCCCUUUCCUCCAAUGGACUUUCAUUUCAAACAGCCCCUUCCAGCUCCCUUCUUUUAUCUUUAAAGGUGAGGAUACUGAAGUUCUAUGAAAUAGAAUUGCUUGCCAAUAUCCAGAGCUAAUUAGGGCAGAUCGGGACCAGAAACCAGAUCUCCUGACUCAGAUAUGGUUAUAUUUCCAUCUGCUUCAUUUUACAUAUACAGAAGCCAAAGUUGGAGACUGAAUGCCCAUGGUCACACAGAUCUGUCUCCUCCCCAACACGGUGCAACCAGAGGGCUGAGACCCAUAUCUGAUUCCUCUCCAAUCCCCAACAUUCAAUAAAUUUUUGUUGAGUUCACAAAGGCAGCCACCUGGAGAAGCUUGGGAUACACCAGAGUAACAAAGCCAUGAUUUGGAAUGUUCCUGCUCCUUCUCCAUAGGCAGCUACAGAUCCCUGAGCGCACUCACCUGAAUUUCUUCAGCAAGAGCAACCAACUCAAAGACAUCUUUGUGCACUAAGAAAGGAUGCCCUGUGUGGAAAGAGUCAAAAGUCAUAGGGAUCCGCACCUGGUGGGCUAGGAGGCAAGAAGAAAAGCUCCAUCCUCUUAAUUAAG